rnacentral:rRNA from 1 species
GAUGAACGCUAGCGGCAGGCCUAACACAUGCAAGCCGAGCGGUAGAGAUUCUUCGGAAUCUUGAGAGCGGCGUACGGGUGCGGAACACGUAUGCAACCUGCCUUUAUCAGGGGGAUAGCCUUUCGAAAGGAAGAUUAAUACCCCAUAAUAUAUUUGAUUGCAUCCUUAGAUAUUGAUAGCUUUGGCGGGUAGUGAUGGGCACGCGCAAGGUUAGCGAGUUGGUUAGGUAACGGCUCACCAAGACGAUGAACUCUAGGGGGGAUGAGAGGGUGAUCCCCCAGACUGGUACCAAGACCCGGACCAGACUGCUACGGGGCGCAGGAGAGAGGAAUACUAGGCGAUGGGUUAGCGCCUGAUACAGCCGUCCCGCGUGAAGGACUACGGCCCUAGGGGUUGUAAACUUCUUUUGUACAGGGAUAAACCUACUCUCGUGAGAGUAGCUGAAGGUACUGUACGAAUAAGCACCGGCUAACUCCGUG